UACGAAGGGUGCAAACGUUGCUCGGAAUUAUUGGGCGUAAAGCGCACGUAGGCGGCUUUGCAAGUCGGAUGUGAAAUCCCUCGGCUCAACCAAGGAAGUGCAUCCGAAACUGCAGAGCUUGAGUACUUAAGAGGAUCGCGGAAUUCCCGGUGUAGAGGUGAAAUUCGUAGAUAUCGGGAGGAACACCAGUGGCGAAGGCGGCGAUCUGGGAAGAUACUGACGCUGAGGUGCGAAAGCGUGGGGAGCAAACAGG
rnacentral:rRNA from 1 species